GAAAGAUAAACUUAUCUUACUUAUUAAUUAAUGUGUUUUGCUUGGUUUUGAGAGAUCAUCUCUCAUAUAGUUCUUUGAAAACUGGAUAAUGUGGUAGUCUUAUAUCUUUAGAUAUAGGACAUUAAAAUAUCUCAUCAAAUUAGGAGAAAAAUAAUGGU
rnacentral:misc_RNA from 1 species